rnacentral:lncRNA from 1 species
CUCCCAUGUACUCACAAGCACAGUGUGAAUCAAGAAGCAGCACGUAUAAAAAGACCUCACUGAAGACUGAAAGGGAUUGUUCCUGACAAGCCUGCAGAACAGCAGACGGCUUAUAGGGGGGCUGAGCUCUACAUGGGGAAUCUGUCAAGCUAACAAAGGGCCAGUUCUCCCAGGGACAGGAAGUUUGGAAGGUGAACUGCAGGGAAACUCAUUCAGUGAGGACAGAGGAACCACCCUCUUCCCAUUUCCCUUUGACUGUGCCUCCACAGAAGAGCCAGGCAGCUGCCUCAUCCCCAUCUACCCAGGCCUGCAAGCAGGCUCUGCUUCCACCCAUGAAAAGCGGGACUUACUCUCUCACCAUAAACAUCUGAAAAACUGGAUCAAAGAUAUGAAACAACUACUUCCAGACACUGGACAAGAAGCAGUAAUCUUAUAAGCAGCAUACAUUGGUCCGGGAACCAAGAAGUGGACUCACUCACCAUCACUCCAGUGACCUUGUCCUUCCAGUCCCUGCAGCUUUGGGCUUUGUGGAUCUAGAGGCCCUGGUUCCCAAAGGGAGAAUACUUCUACCAGGAGGAAGUAUUGUAGGAGUUCCAGUAAGUUUUAAGCCAUGGCUUCCGACUAGUCACUUCAGGCUCCUCAUGCCAAGAGAUCAGCAGACAAAGAAGGAUUCACCACACUGGCUCAGGUGAUUGACCCUGGUCAUCAGGAUGUGGUAGGCUGUGUUACAUGGGGAGGUGCAAGGAAGAAUAUAUUUGGCACUCAUGUAAUCCACUAGGAUGUCUCCUGAUUCUCCCCUUCUUGAUUGUAAAGGUAAAUGGAAAGUGCAGCAGCCUUGAUCUGAGAAGGGCAUGGUGACCCACAGCUCAGAUCCCUUGGGGAUGAGGGUCUGGGUCACACCACCAAGUAAGCCACUUGGAACAGUGGAGGUGUCUACCAAGGAUGAGAGGACUGUAGAAUAGGUUGUACGAGAGGAAGAUGUUGAGUAUUGGCUGUGGCCUCAAGACUAGUUGCAGUAGUGGGACAGUGGGAGGGAUGGCUAUUUCAUCUCACUAACCUGCCAUAAGUUUCCCAAGGAAACAGACCGACCAGAAUCCUAGAGAAGCUGUUCCCAGAUGGAGUGGAUUUGAACAGCGCAAGAGGUCGUUUGCAGUGGAUACUAUGAUGUGCCAUCCAGGUCUGCCCUUCAGGACUAAGAUGCAUAUUCCCUCAGCAGCCAGCAGUAUUGCCUGUUGAUGGCUCACAGCUGUGUGCCUCUCUGGGCAAUGCUGUCAGCUGAAAGGUGCUUUCUUGGCUCAUUUCUGCACUCUUUCACUGGGGGCAGCCCACAUCCAAAGACUAGUCAAUGUGGAGCUACAGAGCCCUAGUCAGUGCUUCAGCUUGAGACUUCUCUGUCUAAGAAGUGUCUCAAAAUUAACUCAUUCAAAACCAUACUCAGAGUCCUCCCUACACCUUUCCCUUUUCCCCAUUUCAGUAAAUGUCAAUUCCAUGCCUCCAGUUGUCCAGUCCAAAAUCUUGGAAUUUUCCUUGACUCCUCUCUUUAUCUAGUUCCCCAGACAUAUAAUAUACUAGCAAAUCUUGUGGACUCUACCUUCAUAUCCACAAUUUGACCACUUCUCAGCCCUACCACUGCUGACCCUCUGCAACUCACUAUAAACUCACCUGGAGCACACUAUUGCCUCCCAGCUGACUUCCCUGCUUCUGCGCUUGCUCCCUCCUGUCUAUUCCAUGCAAGCAGCCAAAGUGACCCUGUUGAGAGCUAAGUUAGAUCCUCUAACAAAUUCUUCUAGUGCCUUCUCCUCACACAGACUACAAGCUAAA